UACGGGGGGGCAAGCGUUGUUCGGAAUUACUGGGCGUAAAGGGCUCGUAGGCGGCCAACUAAGUCAGACGUGAAAUCCCUCGGCUUAACCGGGGAACUGCGUCUGAUACUGGAUGGCUUGAGUUUGGGAGAGGGAUGCGGAAUUCCAGGUGUAGCGGUGAAAUGCGUAGAUAUCGAGAGGAACACCAGAGGUGAAGACGGGUUGCUGGGCCGACACUGACGCUGAUAGCGCGAAAGCCAGGGGAGCAAACGGG
rnacentral:rRNA from 1 species